rnacentral:rRNA from 1 species
AACGAACGCUGGCGGCAGGCCUAACACAUGCAAGUCGAGCGAGGACUUCGGUUCUAGCGGCGGACGGGUGAGUAACGCGUGGGAAUGUGCCCUUCUCUACGGAAUAGCCCUGGGAAACUGGGAGUCAUACCGUAUACGCCCUUUUGGGGUAAGAUUUAUCGGAGAAGGAUCAGCCCGCGUUGGAUUAGGUAGUUGGUGGGGUAAUGGCCUAUCAAGCCGACGAUCCAUAGCUGGUUUGAGAGGAUGAUCAGCCACACUGGGACUGAGACACGGCCCAGACUCCUACGGGAGGCAGCAGUGGGGAAUCUUAGACAAUGGGGGCAACCCUGAUCUAGCCAUGCCGCGUGAGUGAUGAAGGCCUUAGGGUUGUAAAGCUCUUUCAGCUGGGAAGAUAAUGACGGUACCAGCAGAAGAAGCCCCGGCUAACUCCGUG